rnacentral:rRNA from 1 species
AUUGAACGCUAGCGGGAUGCUUUACACAUGCAAGUCGAACGGCAGCGCGGACUUCGGUCUGCGGCGAGUGGCGAACGGGUGAGUAAUGUAUCGGAACGUGCCCAGUAGCGGGGGAUAACUACGCGAAAGCGUAGCUAAUACCGCAUACGCCCUACGGGGGAAAGCAGGGGAUCGUAAGACCUUGCACUAUUGGAGCGGCCGAUAUCGGAUUAGCUAGUUGGUGAGGUAACGGCUCACCAAGGCGACGAUCCGUAGCUGGUUUGAGAGGACGACCAGCCACACUGGGACUGAGACACGGCCCAGACUCCUACGGGAGGCAGCAGUGGGGAAUUUUGGACAAUGGGGGCAACCCUGAUCCAGCCAUCCCGCGUGUGCGAUGAAGGCCUUCGGGUUGUAAAGCACUUUUGGCAGGAAAGAAACGUCGCGGGCUAAUACCCCGUGGAACUGACGGUACCUGCAGAAUAAGCACCGGCUAACUACGUG